UGGCNCGNUNANNUUUUAGAGAGAGUUCAAGAAGUACGCUGAAACUGCCUCAAAGGAUAAACGGGUGGGCCCAUCGCAAAUCCUGUGACGAGGAGGAUUCAGUUCUUGGAGAUCGCGGCUCGCGCCUGGAUCGGAAAACCGAGAUAGGGCUUCCCGAGACCGGGGCCGAUUCGACUGCGAGUUUCCGUGGCGCCAGACGCAUUUGUCUCUCGUCCGAAGGACGCCGCAGCCGGUUGGGCAGCGCAAGCGUGACGGCCUGAGGGGCGGGAAAUGGCAGGUGGCCAGUGGCGUGCCUCGUGCGCGUCGCUGGUUGUUAGCCGUCCCGUCAGUGGCUCGUCGCCCGACCGAGGUGUCGCUAGGCCCUUUGCGGGCCGCAUCGCCUCCUCAAUUGAAGUCGUGACAGGGCGUGGCAGGUGAAGGCUACCGUCCGCCGCACUCUUACGGAGUGGGCGGGCGAGCAGUCGGCUCCGUUGGCCGCGACGGACACGUCGGAGGUCGGUGGCUUGCGGCGAGUAGGUCGGUCACCCACCCGACCCGUCUUGAAACACGGACCAAGGAGUCUAACAUGUGCGCGAGUCAAUGGGUCUUGAAUAGGCCCAGGGGCGCAAUGAAAGCAAAGGUCGGCUCCCGUCGACCGAGUUGGGAUCCCCUCCUCGCGGGGGGCGCACCAACGACCCGUCCUGUGCUGUUCUCAGCUUGGGCGGAGUGUGAGCGUACACGUUGGGACCCGAAAGAUGGUGAACUAUGCCCGGACAGGACAAGGCCAGAGGAAACUCUGGUGGAGGUCCGCACCGGUUCUGACAUGCAAAUCGAUCGUCGGAUCCGGGUAUAGGGGAAAANNNUUUUUUUAAAAA
rnacentral:rRNA from 1 species